CGCCUGUUUAUCAAAAACAUCGCCGCUCGAUUGUCACGUGCGGUCGUACCUGCCCGGUGCGCGGGAUGCGUAAACGGCGGCUGUAACCUGACGGUCCUAAGGUAGCGAAAUUCCUAGCCCUUUAAUUGGGGGCCUGCAUGAAGGUUUGACGAGGGCUUCACUGUCUCUUGCCUUGAGAGAUUGAAAUUUAGUUAGGGGUGCAGACGCCCUUGUAGUAAAGUCAGACAAAAAGACCCCGUGCAACUUUAAAGAGGGGUGCCGGUAUUUGAACUCGUCUUAUUUUUUGGUGGGGCGCCAGGGAAGUAUACAAAACCUUCUCUUAUAGAAACAACGCGACACGUGAUGAUCCAAAUUUGUUUGAGAACAGGAGAAGUUACGCCGGGGAUAACAGAGCAAUCCUGCAGUAGAGUCCGUAUUAGCUGCGGGGAUUGCCACCUCGAUGUUGAAUUAUGGAUGAUAACUCUUUGGUUGCAGCAGCUAUUGAAGUAGGUCUGUUCGACCUUUGAAACCUUUACGUGAUCUGAGUUUAAACCGG
rnacentral:rRNA from 1 species